rnacentral:lncRNA from 1 species
GGGAAGUGGGGGAUUUAUUGUAUCAGCCACAGGGGCUCGAUCAGACUUCAGCUUAAAAUACUUCACUAAGAACUGGACAGGGCUUAGAAACCUGAGUUUGGGGUGGGGACACAAGCCUGGCAGCUGUGAUGUCCAGGUAGCAGGAAUCCCCGGCAGGGUCGCUUGGCGUCUAGGCCUCAGUUGCCCACACUGUCCCACGCACUGAGCCCACAGAGGAUCCCUCGCUUCUCCACAGUGUGAGCACACGUCUACUUGAUUCUGCCUCCCUAUCUGCUCACAUCACCCAGGUACACUGCUGGGAAUGUGCCAGCCGUGCCUCAGGGUCCUCCCCGCCUGUGCUGGCUCGGUGUUCUGGGGGGAGGGAGGGAGGAGGCUCCUCACCUUGGAUUCCCCAGACUUGCCCUCAUGGGACUUAAUGAUGCAAAUCCUGUGGCAUUUUCCCUCGGUGGUCCUGCUUAGUCCACCCAAUGCCUGUUCUCUUUCUCCUCGUGACCUUGCAAUGUCUUCUGUCUCAGAUUUUGAGCAGACUAUGGUGUUAGUUGCCUGUGGGCCUUAUACCACCUCUGACAGCAUCACAUACGACCCCCUGCUUGAUCUGAUCAGCACCAUCAACCAUGACCGGCCAGAUGUCUGCAUCCUGUUCGGCCCUUUCCUGGAUGCUAAGCAUGAACAAGUGGAGGUGAGUGCAUGGGGGAGGGGCUGGGUACUUACACUCACCC